rnacentral:tRNA from 1 species
UACAUUUUGGUGUAUGGUGCACUUGAAUUUUUGAAAUUCAGGGGAUUAGUUUAAAUCUAAUAAAUGUAG